rnacentral:lncRNA from 1 species
CUGGGAUAUCUCCAUCUUGGCCUACUGAUGGCAGUCCCUGUCAUGAAGCUGACCUGUGAACAUGGCAUAAAAUAACUGCAUAGGAAGUCAGAAGACCAAGAAAGCACACAAGGGUAAGCAGGCCACUAUUGAAGAUCAUAAGGAUCUCGACUGCAAAGGUGUCUGUACAGGCUAGCUUGAUGACCUGUGGGACAUCACAGAAGAAAUUAUCUAGAUGAUUUGGACCACAGAAGGGCAAGCGGAGGAUGAGGACAACCUGAAUAAUGGAGUGAAUAAAUCCUCCAAGCCAGGGAGCCAACAACAUCACAUAGCAGACUCUGGGAUUCAUGACAGUGGAGUAAUACAAAGGCCUGCAGAUGGCAAUGUAGCGGUCAAAGGCCAUUACAACCAGUAGUAAAAAUUCCCCUCCUCCAAGGAAGUGCAAAAAAAAUAGCUGAGUGAUGCAGGCUUUGUAGGAGAUUAUCUUCUUCUCAGAGAAGAUGUCUAUCAACAUCCUAGGAGCCACAAUGAAGGAGUAGGAGGCAUCCAGGAAGGCCAAAUUUCCCAGGAAUAAAUAAAGAGGGGCAGUAAGUCCAGGGUCUGAUAUGAUGGUGAGGAUGAUGAAGACAUUUCCAGGCAAAAUGAUGAUGUAGAAAAUUAAGCUCAGAACAAAGACCAAGCGUUGAAUGUCAAGUGACUCUGUCAGUCCUGUGAAGAUGAAUUCUGUGACAACUGUCCUGUUUUCUGUCUCCAUCGCCAGUCCCUAUACAACAUCAACAAAUAAAACAAUUCUUU